rnacentral:rRNA from 1 species
GAUGAACGCUAGCGGCAGGCCUAAUACAUGCAAGUCGAACGGUAAAUGUCCCUUCGGGGAUAUGAGAGUGGCGCACGGGUGCGUAACGCGAAUGCAACCUACCCAAUGCUGGAGGAUAGCCCGGAGAAAUUCGGAUUAACCCUUCAUGAGGAGCUCUGGAGGCAUCUUCGAGGUUUCAAAUAGUUAUAGGCGUUGGAUGGGCAUGCGUGCUAUUAGAUAGUUGGCGGGGUAACGGCCCACCAAGUCGACGAUAGCUAGGGGAUCUGAGAGGACGGUCCCCCACACUGGUACUGAGACACGGACCAGACUCCUACGGGAGGCAGCAGUAAGGAAUAUUGGGCAAUGGAGGCAACUCUGACCCAGCCAUGCCGCGUGAAGGAUGGAGGCCCUACGGGUCGUAAACUUCUUUUGUCAGGGAAUAAAGUCACCUACGUGUAGGUGUUUGCAGGUACCUGAAGAAUAAGCAUCGGCUAACUCCGUGCCAGCAGCCGCCGUAAGAC